rnacentral:rRNA from 1 species
GAUGAACGCUGGCGGCGUGCCUAAUACAUGCAAGUCGAGCGAACAGAUGAGGAGCUUGCUCCUCUGACGUUAGCGGCGGACGGGUGAGUAACACGUGGAUAACCUACCUAUAAGACUGGGAUAACUUCGGGAAACCGGAGCUAAUACCGGAUAAUAUAUUGAACCGCAUGGUUCAAUAGUGAAAGACGGUUUUGCUGUCACUUAUAGAUGGAUCCGCGCCGCAUUAGCUAGUUGGUAAGGUAACGGCUUACCAAGGCAACGAUGCGUAGCCGACCUGAGAGGGUGAUCGACCACACGGGAACUGAGACACGGUCCAGACUCCUACGGGAGGCAGCAGUAGGGAAUCUUCCGCAAUGGGCGAAAGCUUGACGGAGCAACGCCGCGUGAGUGAUGAAGGUCUUCGGAUCGUAAAACUCUGUUAUUAGGGAAGAACAAAUGUGUAAGUAACUAUGCACGUCUUGACGGUACCUAAUCAGAAAGCCACGGCUAACUACGUG